rnacentral:snRNA from 1 species
GGAUUUAAUUGCAGAAAGUCUGGGUAGUAGGUCAUGAACGAUACAGAGAAGAUUAGCAUGGCCCCUGUGCAAGGAUGGCACACAAAUCGAGAAAGAUGUGUAUCAUGGAU